GGUACAUCUUUUCUGUAUAGUUACCAGUCAAAUUAGUAGACAACAAAUUUAAUUUAAGAAUAAAUUAUUCAAUCAUUAAACUCUAAAAAAAGAAGAAGUUUGGAUAUGUAACCUGAUAUGUUGGAUCCUUAUAAUGCCGGCAUAUGACAUUCUAAUCAUCCAUAGUGAUGCUGUCAUAGGGCUGCUACUGUGCUGCCUCCUCCCC
rnacentral:lncRNA from 1 species